AAGCACACCAAGGACAGAGGUGGACACGUGCCAGCCAACACAGGAAUACAGGGCCUGUAUCUGUUCAUCUCAAGCAUCCAGUGGCUGUUUGUGAGGCGCAUACAUCUCAUCCUGGAUUCGGCAGAUUAUAAACGUAACCGAGUGACAUAAAGCAGCAAAUGGGGAGAUCACUGGACAACGUGGCAGAUGCCUCCAUUUAUAAAGACAUGAGGCCACAGGCAGACACCAAAUCACCUUGUGUGACAGGAAGAUGGACUUACCCAACCCUCGCGUCUUCAAUCUCUCAUCUAUUAACACGGCAGGUUCUUCUUGUGCAUCCUGGGAUGAUUUGGAAGCAACUACGCAGCCCACAUUGACCUCAAGCUUUUUCUCCUCUUCCUCUGCCUCACAAAUGCUGGGAUUAUAGGUGUGUGCUCCCAUGCUCAGCUAA
rnacentral:lncRNA from 1 species